rnacentral:rRNA from 1 species
CCUACGGGAGGCAGCAGUGGGGAAUAUUGGGCAAUGGGCGCAAGCCUGACCCAGCAACGCCGCGUGAAGGAAGAAGGCUUUCGGGUUGUAAACUUCUUUUGUCAGGGACGAGUAGAAGACGGUACCUGACGAAUAAGCCACGGCUAACUACGUGCCAGCAGCCGCGGUAAUACGUAGGUGGCAAGCGUUGUCCGGAUUUACUGGGUGUAAAGGGCGUGUAGCCGGGUUGACAAGUCAGAUUUGAAAUCCUGCGGCUUAACCGCAGAACUGCAUUUGAAACUGUUGAUCUUGAGUACUGGAGAGGCAGACGGAAUUCCUAGUGUAGCGGUGAAAUGCGUAGAUAUUAGGAGGAACACCAGUGGCGAAGGCGGUCUGCUGGACAGCAACUGACGGUGAGGCGCGAAAGCGUGGGGAGCAAACAGGAUUAGAUACCCCAGUAGUC